rnacentral:pre_miRNA from 1 species
UUCCUACUCCCUCCGUUCGGAAUUACUUGUCUCGGAAAUGAAUGUAUCUAGAUGUAUUUUAGUUCUAGAUACAUUCAUUUCCGAGACAAGUAAUUCCGAACGGAGGGAGUAUAAG